GUCUAUGGCCAUACCACCCUGAACACGCCCGAUCUCGUGUGAUCUCGGAAGCUAAGCAGGAUCGGGCCUGGUUAAUACUUGGGUGGGAGAAAGGGUCUUAAAAGCAAAAGAACUGGAGGCCCUGAAGC
ensembl:rRNA 5S_rRNA 5S ribosomal RNA